UUGAUUAUGUAUGUUUGCCUUUCCAGUGUGUUGUGUAUUUUUGUAUGUCUUCAUGUUUCUAAGUAGCAUCUUUUUAUAUCAGCCUGAAUAACUCCCUCCAACAUUUUUUUUGUAAGGCAGGUUUAGUGCAAACUCCUGCUUUUGUUCGGGAAAGUUUUUAUCCUUCAUUUCUGAAGAAUAGCAAUGCUGAUAGCGUAUUCUUGGUGGCCAUUUUUUCCUUUCAGUACUUUGAAUACAUCAUGCCACUCUCUCUUGUCCUGUAAGUUGUCUACUGAGAAAUCCACUGAUAGCCCAGUGAAGGUUCCAAUCUUUUUUCUCUUGCUGCCUUUAAGAUUCUCUCUUUAUCUGUGAUUUUUGACACUUUCAUUAUAAUGUGUCUUGGAUAAAAUGGUUUUGAAUUGGAAUAAUUAGAUGACCUAUUAGCUUCAUGAACUUGAAUGUCCAAGUGUCUCCCCAGAUUUCAGAAGUUCUUGGCCAUUAUUUCUUUAAAUAAGCUUUCUACUCCCUUUUUUCUCCACUUCUCCUUCUGGAAUUCCAAUGAAUCUGAUAUUGGUUCUUUUGAAGAUAUCUUAUAGAUCAUAUUGGCUUUCUUAGUUCUUUUUUAUUCUUUUUUGUUUGUUAUACUCUGAUGGGGUUAUUUCCAAGUUCCUUAAGCUUGCAUGUCUUUUCUUGAUCUUACAGUGCACCAUGUCAGCUGUUAGUAACCUCUCUUUUGUUUUUAUGGUUAACCCUACAGCUCAAACAGUCUCUGUUGCCAGUAGACCUUGGCUUGUUUCCUGCACGCACACUCUGUCAGCUUGAGAGUGCUCUCACUGCCACCCUUAGGAGUGUACAUAAGGAACCAGACAAGAGUGGGAGGAAUUGUGGGUUUGGCACUCCCAGGACUGGCCUGUUUCCCUGAUCACUCACCAUGCAAGGUGAAAACAUUCACCUUCUCCCUUUUAUUUUCUGCAAAAUUAUAUUAAUACACAUAUUACACAAUGAUGUUUACAUAUCACUGAGCAUUGUCUAUACCCAUUUAACCCUCAAAAUAUUGGAAAAGGAUAUUAUAUAAACAAAUUUAAGGUAGAUAAUACUAUUUUCCCCAUUUCACAGAUGUGAACACUGAUAUUUGGAUGUGAUAUGUAACUAUCCAAUGCUACACACUGGACUGAUCUUAUCCCAGUCAAUUGACAGUAGCUAUGGGCAGUACUAAAGUGAAUUCAGGAUAGCAAUGAUGGACAAAUGCAUGAAGAUCAUUACGCUGAAACAAAGUUGAACCUAUGAAGAAUAGCAUCUCCAUGGAUUGCUGUAAAAAUCUUCUUGGAUACACACACAUACAUUUCUCCAGAUUUCUACUGGGACUGAAAUUUAUGAGUCAUAAUGGAUGUAUAACUUAAAGUUUAACAGAUAAAUGCUGAACUGAAUAGACCGAUUUGUACAGAAGAAGCAUAUAAAAGUUCUUGUUAUUGUAUAUUUUCACCAACAUGUGACAGUCAAUUAUUUUGUUUUGUUUUUGUUAAUGAUUUUAGCUAUUCUAGUGGAUGGGUAGUGGUAGACCAUGGCUUAAAUUUGCAUUUUUAUAAUUACUAAUAAUAUUGAGUUAAUUUCUGUAUGAUCAUUGGCAAUAUAUUAUUCCCAUUGUAAAUGGCUAUUUUUUUCCAUUUGGUCUCUAUCUUAUUCAGUGUAGAAUUUUUUUUAUAUUUAAGAUAAGUCUUGGUUAAAUUUGUAUCAUAUGUUGUAUGUUUUGUGAGUAUGUGUUUACUCUUGCUUUAAUAAUCUACUAGUUGGAUUAUAAUAACUUUAUACAGAUUUUAUAAGUCCUCCUACUAUGUUUUCUUUAAUCUUCUAGAGCAUGUCAGCUAUUAGCUCUUUGUAUUUCCAUAUAAUAGUUUCAGUGAUCUUGUUGAUUUACACACACACACACACACACAUCCCCCUGUACAUGACUAAUGGGCUUUGAUUACAACUACACUGAAACUAUGAACAAUCUGGGGGAAAUACGAAUCUGCAUCGUUUAUUCUUCUCGCCUAUGAAUAUGGUGUAUUUUCUUUAUUAAUUAUUCCCAGUGUUUUUGGAAGUCUUCUGUGUAUUGAUCUUUGAAUUAUUUUACAACGAUUUAAUUUCAGAGAGAAACAUUUUAAAGAUUUAUUUCUAGACAUUUGUUAUUUGAGAUGUUACUGU